rnacentral:lncRNA from 1 species
UGAAGAGGAAAAUUUCAUCUGCAACAGCCACAGCCACACCCACUUACCCUUCUUAGAAAAAAAAAAAAAACAAACACUAAUCUUUCUUCAAGGUAAAUAAAUGAAUCAUACUACUGAAGAGGAAAAUUUCAUCUGCAACACCCACACCCACACCUACUAUUUACCCUUCUUAGAAAAAAAAAAACAAACACUAAUCUUUCUUCAAGGUAAAUAAAUGAAUCAUACUACUGAAAAGGAAAAUUUCAUCUGCAACACCCACACCCACACCUACUAUUUACCCUUCUUAAAAGAAAAACAAAUACAUUAAGUGAAUAUCAUUUAUUACAUUGAACAAAAGAACUAGUAAAAUCUGUAUACAUAUAUAUUUUUUUUAAAAUGGAGGGUUAAGAUUGUUUAAAAUGAAGAUACACAUCAACCUUGAUAUACUUUCAAGUACCGUAACAUGAAUAGUUUUCUAUAUAAACGAGUAAAAUUAGUCCAUUUCACACUAAGAAAAAAGAAGUGAAAAAUCUUGAGAAAGAAAAAGAAUUAUGGCGGUCGUCCACAUCAAAAUAUAUCUUCUUCUUCUUCUCCUCGCUCUUCUCAUUAUGACGGUAAGAAUUAUGGAUAACAAAUGGUGCUGUCAGCGUGCUUAGACUAUGGAUCAUCUACCUUUCUUCAAUUUGUUGUUUUUUUUUUUCUUUUCUUUUAAUUAAAAAUGUCGUACUACAUUUCGCAUUAGUUUCUAAUGUUUAGUGUGUUUCCAGCCUAUUUGAAGAAAGGUAGGUAUUAAUUAAAAUCCAUGAUGUAUUAGUUUGAAUUAAUGUUUGUGAUAAUGGCUUCAUCAUCUCUUCUUUUACCUCUAAUUAUUUUUGUCUGAUGGAUCAAUGGCAAAGAAAGAUGCUUCAGUCACAACAUCAAACUAACAAGAACGUCAAACUACUAUAACCAAAUUGUAACAGCAAGAAACUUUACAAAUCACUUGUGUUUCGCAAAAAAAUGAAAUUUUGAAACAAGAGCAACCAGUGAUAAAUUCAACUAUUUCUCUCUAAAUUUGCAAGAAAAUAAUAUUGAAACCGUAAGAAAAAUACCUCGUGCUUCUUUCGGAGAGUAGCUCACCGCGAGAGGAAAUCCAUUGCUGCACCUAUCGGCUAAACAGAAAACUUUGUAGGGUUUCGGAAUUUAUAUACUCCGGUUAGAUGGGUGCCCGCGAGCGUUUAAUAAAACGCGCGUUUUGACCCUGGGCUGGCAAGGGAAGUGGGCUCGGACGAAACCGGGCUUGGGAUCCGACAACAUAAUCAAAACUCGUUUGACAAAUACAAUUACAAUUACAAUUCUCAAGUAUGAUUGUUCAAAUUACAAUGAAAAUUAAAAAUUGAAAGUGAAAAAAGAAUUGGGUUUAAUUUGGAUCUGAAGAUGGAUUUGGGUUUUUACUUUUGGGAUCUUGUAAUUUUGAUUGUCUCAUUUUUUGGGAACUUAAAUUCUUAGUUAUCUUAUUCAUUAUUCUACCACACUAAUAAUAUAUUAUGUAUCACUUGCACCAGAGUAGUAUAGAACCCCUCCAUCAUUGAUUUUCAAAAUGUAAGCUAAUUUGUUCGCCUGGUUGUUUAGGAAGGAAGAAAUUGUUGCUCAAAUCAGUCAAUGGUGAGUAGAAUAGAGGAGGAGGAGGAGGAGGAGG